ACAUGCCUACAACAUAGCGUUAAUGUAGUGUAUCCCAUUAGAACUUUGUAGUUAAGCGUGCUCAGGCUAGAGUAGUACUGGGAUGGGUGACUGCCUAGGAAUUCCUGGUGUUUUACAUGCC
rnacentral:rRNA from 1 species